rnacentral:rRNA from 1 species
GCUGCUAUACAUGCAGUCGAGCGGACAGAUGGGAGCUUGCUCCCUGAUGUUAGCGGCGGACGGGUGAGUAACACGUGGGUAACCUGCCUGUAAGACUGGGAUAACUCCGGGAAACCGGGGCUAAUACCGGAUGGUUGUUUGAACCGCAUGGUUCAAACAUAAAAGGUGGCUUCGGCUACCACUUACAGAUGGACCCGCGGCGCAUUAGCUAGUUGGUGAGGUAACGGCUCACCAAGGCAACGAUGCGUAGCCGACCUGAGAGGGUGAUCGGCCACACUGGGACUGAGACACGGCCCAGACUCCUACGGGAGGCAGCAGUAGGGAAUCUUCCGCAAUGGACGAAAGUCUGACGGAGCAACGCCGCGUGAGUGAUGAAGGUUUUCGGAUCGUAAAGCUCUGUUGUUAGGGAAGAACAAGUACCGUUCGAAUAGGGCGGUACCUUGACGGUACCUAACCAGAAAGCCACGGCUAACUACGUGCCAGCAGCCGCGGUAAUACGUAGGUGGCAAGCGUUGUCCGGAAUUAUUGGGCGUAAAGGGCUCGCAGGCGGUUUCUUAAGUCUGAUGUGAAAGCCCCCGGCUCAACCGGGGAGGGUCAUUGGAAACUGGGGAACUUGAGUGCAGAAGAGGAGAGUGGAAUUCCACGUGUAGCGGUGAAAUGCGUAGAGAUGUGGAGGAACACCAGUGGCGAAGGCGACUCUCUGGUCUGUAACUGACGCUGAGGAGCGAAAGCGUGGGGAGCGAACAGGAUUAGAUACCCUGGUAGUCCACGCCGUAAACGAUGAGUGCUAAGUGUUA